rnacentral:rRNA from 1 species
UCAAGCUGAAAAGAGCGCAAGGGGAAUGCCUUGGCAUCAGGAGCCGACGAAGGACGUGACAAGCUGCGAUAAGCCACGGGGAGGAGCAAAUAUCCGCUAUAUCCGUGGAUUUCCGAAUGGGGGAACCCGCUCAAGCAAUACUUGAGCAUCGUGCGUUGAAUCAAAUAGGCGUACGAAGGGAACGGCCUGAACUGAAACAUCUAAGUAGGGCCAGGAAAAGACAUCAACCGAGAUUCCGCUAGUAGUGGCGAGCGAACGCGGAGGAGGCCAAACCGGAGGAUUUUAUUCUCCGGGGUUGCGGACAGACAUCAAGACCAGAGGUAAUUAAGAGAACGGCGUGGGAAAGCCGGCCAUAGAAGGUGAGAGCCCUGUAUCUGAAAAUGAAGACUGGCAGUCUGGAUCCAGAGUACCGCGGGACACGUGAAACCCCGUGGGAAACCGGGUGGACCACCAUCCAAGCCUAAAUACUACCUGAUGACCGAUAGAGGAGCAGUACCGUGAGGGAAAGGUGAAAAGGACCCCGGGAGGGGAGUGAAAGAGAACCUGAAACCUUGUGCCUACAAGCACAUAGAGCCCGUCAAAGGGUGAUAUGGUACUUUUUGUAGAACGGUCCGGCGAGCGAUUGUACGUUGCGAGCUUAAGGUCUUAAGGACUGGAGGCGUAGCGAGAGCGAGUCUAAACAGGGCGUUUAGUAGCGUGCAAUGGGCCCGAAACCGGGUGACCUACCCAUGAUCAGGCUGAAGUGAAAGUAAAAUUUCAUGGAGGGCCGAACCGACCUCCGUUGAAAAGGCGGCGGAUGAAUUGUGGGUAGCGGAGAAAUUCCAAUCGAACUCGGAGAUAGCUGGUUCUCCCCGAAAUAGCUUUAGGGCUAGCCUCAUGUUAGAUAUCCGGAGGUAAAGCACUGAAUGGCCUAGCGUCCGAGAGGAUAGCGAAGCCUAUCAAACUAAGAAUGCCGGAAUAUUGAUGCAUGGGAGUCAGACAGUGUGAGAUAAAUCUCAUUGUCAAAAGGGAAACAGCCCAGAUCUACAGCUAAGGUCCCAAAUUGUAUCUAAGUGGAAAACGAUGUGGAAAUACGCAGACAACCAGGAUGUUGGCUCAGAAGCAGCCACUCAUUUAAAGAGUGCGUAAUAGCUCACUGGUCGAGCGUCUCUGCGCGGAAAAUUUAACGGGGCUAAGAUACAAACCGAAGCUUAGGCUGCACUUUUAGUGCGGGGUAGGGGAGCGUUGUGUAAGCGGAGAAACAGUAGCGAAAGCGGCUGUGGAGUUUACAGAAGUGAGAAUGCCGGAAUGAGUAGCGCGAAUGAUGUGAGAAUCAUCAUGGCCGGAAACCUCAGGUUUUUGGAGGAAGGUUCGUCCGCUCCAAGUUAGGCGGGAGCUAAGGUGAGGCCGAAAGGCGUAGCCGAUGCACAGACGGUAGAGAUUCCGUCCCCACCGAAAGAUUUAAGCGCAGGGACACUUUUAGAAGGUCGGAGCCAGGUGUUGGUUCUGGUAGAGAUCGAGGGAAGAUUAGUACCGAAGUCCGGCUGGAUAAGAGGCGAGAAAAGCUGCGUGUAUAUCUAAGGUGCCCGUACCGCAAACCGACACAGGUAGGUAGGAAGAAGAUUCUAAGGCCAACGGGAGAAGGGUUGUUAAGGAACUCGGCAAAUUGACCCCGUAACUUCGGGAGAAGGGGUGCUCCAGAGAUGGAGCCGCAGAGAAUCGGCCCAAGCAACUGUUUACCAAAAACACAGGUUUGUGCUAAAUCGAAAGAUGACGUAUACGAGCUGACGCCUGCCCGGUGCUGGAAGGUUAAGAGGAGAUGUGCAAGCAUUGAAUCGAAGCCCCAGUGAACGGCGGCCGUAACUAUAACGGUCCUAAGGUAGCGAAAUUCCUUGUCAGGUAAG